GGGCUCUCUGUGCUUGUCUUGAUUGUGGCUGCUGAUGAAAUAGGAAGAUCUGACCCAACUUCUGGGUGAGUGCUCUGCCUGUUAGACCACGUGCCCUUUGGAGAGAGGAAUGGCUGGCUGCUGAGAGAAGAAAGAAGCACCCAUGAGAACAUGCUGUUCUGUGCAUUGCGUGGCUUGUACUUCAGGAGCAGCGGAUCCUCAGCACUUCCAGCUUUCAUGGGUUUGGGAGUAAAGUGUCACUGGGCUGCUGCUUUGUUGUGUGUACAGCACCAGUGGAUCAGGAUGUUGAAGCUGUCUGGUUAGCAAUGGAAACUCUGAAGUGCAACUCAGGUGGAUCUGUCCUUGCCACGCUUGUUUGCUCUAUGCUUUUCUGAGCUCUCCGAGGAAUCCCGGACACAGACAUUAGGAUGCACGGUAGUGAUUUAUUAUGUGGAAUGAAGUAAUGGAGAGCCAGCAAAGGUUGUUUAUAAAUUGGCUCUCUAAGCACUGUUGGACUGUUCUUGUAUUUGUGCAGUGUAUUUCCCAGUAUCUCAUCUGCAUGUUCAGCAAUUGAUACUCAAGCUUACUUUUCAGUUCUUUGUUGUGAGUUCAUGGCCUGCUAAAAGAAGUGUUGGACCAGUGUUCUACCUGAUCAUCUGCUUGUGCAGUCAUUGAGGAGAACUUUUAAAUCGUCUUUCUGCUCUGUAUUGUAAAAUCUAGUGUGACUCCAAGCAAGCAUCUUGUUGUAUACAGUAUGUUUCUCAGAUUUUCAGAACAAAACCCAUAUGUAGCUCUGUUCCUUUCAGUAGGACCCUGUAAUAACAGACUGCUGGUGUUUCCCUGUACACAUUAAUUUUGCCUCAAAAGCCAAUAAAUAUGUUUGAUGCACACUUAAUAAUCUAAAGAAAAAGUGAUUUUCUGCUGUGGUUUAUAUCCUUUCAUUAGAUACUUCAAAGAGGAUGUAAUAUUGGUACUGUUCCCAGAUGCUUCAUGAAAACAAAUACUAAUACCUAAUUAUUGCCUUACACUUUAUUCUAUGUGGCAGUAAUAUAAAAUUGAAUAGUAUUAAUUAGACCAGAGGCUCGGUCCUGAUCUGAGAGGUAUUUCCCUUUCUGAUCCCAGUUCUGUUCUUUUUAAGCACAUAUAUCAUUGUUGUCAUAAUUUUGUGACACAGACAAAAGAAGUAGAAUCCUUGUUAAAAAUGCACUUACCUAUGACUUGGUUAGAACUUUACUUGAGUUUCUAGAAGAUGAAAGGUAGUGAAUGAAAUCAUGAAGUCAUCUGGUGUCUUUCGCUACAUUGUCAUGUGUCAUCAUAGUAGUUUGAGGACUGGUAAUAGGUUAAUUUCCUAAUUAAUACAAAUUAUUUCAAAGAGUGGAUUGUAAUCAAGCUGGAAACCAUUCAUGGGAAUGAAACAGAGCACAAGCCAAAGAGUUCAGACACAGAAAACACUGUAUAUCAACACAAAUCCAAUAAAAAGUAAAAUCGAACCAACUGUGACAUUUUCCCAGUGACACAGAAACGUGGUACAUCCAGCAAUGAGCUGACUUGUCUGAGGACCUGUGGUGACCAGGCACCCUCCAGACAUUGGACACACGGUACUGAGUGUUCGAAGUAUGCUGCUAGUGAUCCUCCUUCCUGUUUGCUGUUGCUGGCUGAAGCCAAAAUGUUAUACUAUUUGAUUUAAGAAUAAUUUACAAUGAUAUAUUCUGGUUGAUAUGUUUAUAUCCCGUAGUGCAUUUUGCCAUGAAAUUCAGAACAUGCAUUUUAUGGAGUAUAGGACUGAUUAAAAGCAAGGAAUUGUCAGUAAAGACAUGGUGCUUCUCACACAAAAUACUAAAAUGGGCUUUUGAUGCAUAUGAGUUCAU